ensembl:lncRNA
GAAUGAUGUAAUUUAUACGGUGGGCCACCGGAGGGGAGUGAUGUGGUCCGUUGAUCUUGUGUGGGUACCACUUUUAGUGUUUGAAAGAUAGUAAUAAAAAUAAUAAUAAUACAUUUUGAGCAUAUCACACACUUCAUUUUCUGUGUUCUGGUGAAUUUUUUCUGCAACAAUAUAGUGCUUUUUCUGCCUCAAGUUAUGGUCCAAAUGUCCUUAUUUAUGUAAUGGAAAUUAUGAUUUUAGGUUUUUGGGGGGUUGCACUGGCCAGUGUUGAUUAUUGGAGAGGCUGUAACCCCCCCACCCCCCCUGUAAAUUACGCCUACGCCAUUCAUCCCACCUCUGGUUUUAUCUGCAGAUUUUUAGAUUUCAGGACCAUUCCAACCUUCAGUUGUUCUCUUUGUGUAGACUGUGAUAUCCAAUCUGCUGGAUAUGAUCUGUGUUACAUUCUGAGUCUUAGAGUAACUUGUUGUCUUCUGUUUCAGGGCUCUCCACUGGAGUGAUUGUUGGCUUAGUUCUUCUUCUCCUUCUUCUUCUUCUUGCUGCUGCUGUUCUAGCUGUGCUGGUAUACAAGGGUCACAUCACAUUAAAUUGUAAUAAAGUCAUCACAGUGGAAGAAGGCAGUGAUGUUACUUUACCCUGUUCCCUCUGGACCCAAGGAGGACCUUCGGUAGAAGGGUUCAUCUGGCAGAAAACUGAUAGUCUUCAGAUGGUGUUCCUGUAUGAUAAAGGUGAUCUUUACAGUGACGAGCGUCCAGGUCAGAGUGAGCAGUUCAAAGGUCGAGUCUCACAUUUUCCAGAUGAACUGGAACAAGGCAACGCCUCCAUAAUCAUCAGAAAUACGACGAGGGCUGACAGUGGAGACUACACCUGUAUUGUUUCAUCAAUUCAGAAAAAAGAAAAGAAAAAGAAAACUCAAAUAUUCCACAUUAAGCUUGUUGUUGGUUCAACUCCAGAGUCAAAAGAACAUCAUUCAUUAAUGAUGGAAGAAAGGCUUGAUAAUGUCUGUGUUUCUGGAAACAUUUAUUUGUCUUCAGUUAUUUUAUGCUUGUGUUAUAUCACAAUGUAUAGGCUCAUUGAUUUUGUCUUGCAGUUCUAGUUGAUUGUGUAACUGUGUGUAAGACUUGUACAGUAUUCCUGUUCCAGAGGUGUGUAGAGCAGAGAGGACCAGAUCAACAUGAUGAUGCUCUUAGAAGUCUUGUCUUCUUGUAUUCAGACAUAAUUACAAUGUUUUCUGUGAUGUGUGUGAAAUAUUGUGUAAAAAAAGGUCACUUCAUUUAAUGUUUUUUGUUAUUUUAUAGUGUGUUUUAUUACAGUAGUUAGCUCUUUAGACAAUCAUUUCUUGCUUGUGUAUUUAGAAGAAUAGUAAAGGCUGAGAUGUGGUAUUGAUCUUCUUAUCUAACUCAGUGAGAAAGUGAAUAAAGUGCCCUGGUGGGUCACCGGGUAGACCUGGUACUUUAGGCUGAGUCCUCACCACAGUGACUUUGGUUUGAGUCCACCACAGAGCCCUUUGCUGCAUGUCAUCUCCUGUCUUUCCUGUCUGUCUCUAUCACUAUCUUUUAGAAGCAGAAAUGCGAAGAAAUAAGUAUUUAGAAAAGAGUACACUACUAUGUUCUUG